UGGGGAAUCUUGCACAAUGGGGGAAACCCUGAUGCAGCGACGCCGCGUGAGUGAUGAAGCCCUUCGGGGUGUAAAGCUCUUUCGACAGGGACGAUAAUGACGGUACCUGGAGAAGAAGCUGCGGCUAACUACGUGCCAGCAGCCGCGGUAAUACGUAGGCAGCAAACGUUGUUCGGAGUUACUGGGCGUAAAGAGUGCGUAGGCGGUUCGCCAAGUUUGGUGUGAAAUCUCCCGGCUUAACUGGGAGGGUGCGCCGAAAACUGGCGGGCUUGAGUGUGGGAGAGGGAAGCGGAAUUCCUGGUGUAGCGGUGAAAUGCGUAGAUAUCAGGAGGAACACCGGUGGUGUAGACGGCUUCCUGGACCACAACUGACGCUGAGGCACGAAAGCGUGGGUAGCAAACAGG
rnacentral:rRNA from 1 species